rnacentral:rRNA from 1 species
UACGUAGGGGGCGAGCGUUAAUCGGAAUUACUGGGCGUAAAGCGUGCGCAGGCGGUGAGGUGUGUCCGGUGUGAAAGCCCCGGGCUUAACCUGGGAAUGGCAUUGGAAACUGGUGGCUGGAGUGUGGCAGAGGGGGGUGGAAUUCCGCGUGUAGCAGUGAAAUGCGUAGAGAUGCGGAGGAACACCGAUGGCGAAGGCAGCGCCCUGGGCUAACACUGACGCUCAGGCACGAAAGCGUGGGGAGCAAACAGG